GCUGGGGCAAACGUGGCACCGAGAUGCCCCCCCCGGCUCCGGGCGCAGGGCAAGCUUCGCGGGAACGUGGAGAAGCCGAGCACCCCCGAGCUGCUGCGCCUGCUCUUCUCCACCUUGUCCUUCGUCCUGGACCACUGCCCGGACCCCGGCCUGGCGUCCUCCGUGGAGACCCCGCUGCUCAUCCAGGCGGCCAUGGACCUGCUGGAGGAGACCCUGCACCCGGAGGACUACAACACCUGGAAGAGCCUGGGCAUGGCCUGGACCAAGAUCAGGGCCGAGUACCCCAACGGCGACUCGGUGCCCACCUACAUCCCCGUCUUCUCCGACGGGUGGCUGCCACCGCUGCUGGCGCAGCCGGGGGUCCCCCCUGCCGCCGAGCGGGUAAGUCCCGGCCCCACGGCGGUCCUGGCGGGGCGGGGGGGGCAGCCGGGGGGGGAGCAUUGCUCCCUGCCUCGGUUUCCCCGGCUCGCUCUGAGCGCUGAUCCCCUUUGCUCCCCGCGCAGGUGCCUGCCGCGAGCCCCGGGGACAACCUUGUGUAAGUGGGGACACAGAGGGACGCGGGGACGGUGGCAGCCCCCCACGCCCGGUGCUGCCGCUGGGCACUCACCCACCCGGCCCGGGGGGGCAGCGAGGUCUGGCUGCAGCCCCCGGCCGGGGCUGGGGGACGCACCGGUGGGCACUUAG
rnacentral:lncRNA from 1 species